rnacentral:lncRNA from 1 species
AUGUUGCCAUGUUCGCAGGCCCCGCAGCCCAUGAACUUGCGAUCUUCUUGCCUCUGCCUUUUGAGUGUUAGAAACACAGGCUGGAGCCGCCACCUCUGGCUGCUGUCCUACGGGCUUGUUGAUGUAGGGGGGAGUGUUGAUACAGUUUGGUUUGAAGCUGCUUGCUUCUCUGAGGAACUCAAUUUACAAACUUGCUUCGUACCUCUGCAUAGUACUUCGCUGUUUUUUUUUUUUUUUUUAAUCGAGGGUGGAAACAGCCUUGAAAAUGGCAGAGUCACAAAGGGAAAAGUGCACCUGGGCAAUUAGACCUUGGGCAGCUUUAUGUCUCAGGCUUCACAGGAUGGCUUCUGAAGUCUGAAAGACCCUGAUUCUGGACUAGCACAAUUUAAAGCCAGACGACAUGUCUUAGAAGAGAUACAGCAUCACCGCCCGGACUUCAUCCUUCUUCAGAAGAAUCAAUACAUAGACACGUUUUUCUCAAUAA